rnacentral:rRNA from 1 species
AGAGUUUGAUCCUGGCUCAGAACGAACGCGGCGGCGUGCUUAACACAUGCAAGUCGAACGGAAUGAAGGGGCUUGCUCUUUCAUUUAGUGGCGCACGGGUGAGUAACGCGUAGAUAAUCUGCCUGACGAUCUGGGAUAACACUUCGAAAGAGGUGCUAAUACCGGAUAAGCCCACGGGGUCUUUGGACUCUGCGGGAAAAGGGGGGGACCUUUUGGCCUUCUGUCGUCAGAUGAGUCUGCGUACCAUUAGCUAGUUGGUAGGGUAAUGGCCUACCAAGGCUACGAUGGUUAGCUGGUCUGAGAGGAUGAUCAGCCACACUGGAAGUGAGACACGGUCCAGACUCCUACGGGAGGCAGCAGUGGGGAAUUUUGCGCAAUGGGCGAAAGCCUGACGCAGCAACGCCGCGUGAGUGAUGAAGGCUUUCGGGUCGUAAAGCUCUGUCGAGGGGAAAGAAGUGUAUUGCGGUUAAUACCCGCUUUACUUGACGGUCCCCUAAGGAAGCCCGGCUAACUCCGUGCCGGCCGCCGCGGUAAUUC